UACGUAGGGUGCGAGCGUUGUCCGGAAUUACUGGGCGUAAAGCGCGCGCAGGCGGCCUUUUAAGUCUGCUGGUGAAAUGCCGGGGCUCAACCCCGUGCCCGCCACAGAUACUGGGAGGCUGGAGACGAGUAGAGGCAAGCGGAAUUCCGGGUGUAGCGGUGGAAUGCGUAGAGAUCCGGAAGAACACCGGAGGCGAAGGCGGCUUGCUGGGCUCGGUCUGACGCUGAGGCGCGAAAGCGUGGGGAGCGAACAGG
rnacentral:rRNA from 1 species